UCUUGGACAUAAUAAUGCUGCUGCUGCUGCUGUUGCUGAUGGACAGGGAAAUAGGCAUGCUAAUGUGUUGAGCCCAGAAUUAGUAACAUCACUGAAAGAAGUGAAUGAGCGAGUGGUACAGAUCAGCCUCACCAAUUCCAUAUACUGGAAUGCUCACACAUUUGCACUUACUGAAUCUGGAAAACUGUAUGCAUUCGGAGCAGGAGACAAAGGGCAGCUGGGUAUAGAACUUGUGGACAACCAGACUGAAAGAGGAAAUCCAGAACGGGUGGAUAUCGAUCUAAUUUAGCCAUUAAAAUGGCUUCCCCUUGCAAUUCCUUACCUUUUAACUUAUCAGCAUGAGCAUUGCAGUCUGCAUUUGGGGCCCAGAUUUCCCUGUUUAUUUUGUACAUAGAAAAAACAGAAAGAAUUGUGAAGAUUUAAAA
rnacentral:misc_RNA from 1 species